rnacentral:rRNA from 1 species
GACAGAGGGUGCAAACGUUGCUCGGAAUCACUGGGCGUAAAGGGCGUGUAGGCGGGCAUGUAAGUCGGGCGUGAAAUCCCUAGGCUCAACCUAGGAACUGCACUCGAAACUGCGUUUCUUGAGUAUCGGAGAGGAAAGCGGAAUACCUGGUGUAGAGGUGAAAUUCGUAGAUAUCAGGUGGAACACCAGUGGCGAAGGCGGCUUUCUGGACGAUAACUGACGCUGAGACGCGAAAGCGUGGGGAGCGAACAGG